rnacentral:lncRNA from 1 species
UGACAGACUUCUGAAAACUUGUUUCCAAAGUUUACUCCAUCAACAUGUACUAGUGAUAAUGAUAGCAAUAAUAUGAGUAAAAUGAUGCUUACCAUUUGCUUUUCAUAAGCCAGCCGCCAUAUCAAGUGUUGUCUCAUUUAUUCUUUCUUACAAUCCUAGGAGGAAGAACUAUUGUUAGCCCAUUUUAUAGGAAAAGGAACUCAGAUUCAGAUGCAAACUAAGUACCCUGCUAAAGACCAUGCAGCCAGAGGGAACCCUGACUCCAAGCUCAUCAGAUGGCUUUAUUGGAGCUGUGUUUCACCCGGACUCCCUGAGUUGCUCCGAAAUCAGGAAAAAUCUUUCCUAAUGAAGAAGUACUAAAGCAUUAACCAACCUGCCACAGGAAACACAGAACGAUGCCCCAGAUUCGCAACAUGUU